AUAUUACUCCCUCCGUCCAAAAAAGAUUGUCCGAUGUAUCUAGCAUCAAGUUAGUACUAUAUACAUCCAUUUGAGAAACAAGCUUGGGACAAGCUUUUUUGGAUGGAGGGAGUAUAAA
rnacentral:pre_miRNA from 1 species